UCCUCUUAAGUUGACCCGUUCAGGAGCAGGUUCACGCUGCACCAUCUGUAACCAUGGUGAUCUACCCUGGUUACCAUAGCGAACAGUUAGCUUGAAUAAUAAUGCCAGAAAACUGAUUUAAGCCCGAAGUUAGCAGGAUGACCAACGAACAUCGCUUUGAGCUGCAGGCUGUAGAAGACGUGACAGAGAAGCAGCCAUGUUGGACGACUUGCAACAAACAAAAGACAUAUUUUCCUUCCUGACGAUACAGUUAAGCUGCUGAGGGAAAUAUCUGGAUCUUCAUUGUGUCCGGACUGAAAAACAACGAGCAGAAUCUCACUACAGCGCUACGUGAAGCCGAGAGGAGCUGCAGAUUCUCGAUCGUCUGAAGGUUCAUGGCUGCCACAGACACACGUCACCACUGUUUUCAUCCAACUUUAUCGCAAAUUUUAAGCGGAUUUUAUGAAAGUCUGUCAAGGAAACUGCAGAUGAGUGCACUUCUGUCCACUGCAGUUAUGCAAUUAUUAGGAGUUGCUUUCUUCAAAAUAAGGUGAAGCUGCUGCCGAAGGAUUUCUACUGCAUGCUGCACCGACUGAAGGAUUAAGCACAGCGUUACUGGUUUGUAGCUGCGCUUAUGAAGCUUCCUCUCCACACGGGAGCGUCUCCGUGGCAGACGCCCUGAGGGAAAACACAAACAUGAUAUGAAACGUGUCAUCUGGCACCACAUAGCACAUUUGUUAAUUACCCUGUGUAACCUUCCACAAAUUGCCUGUUGUUGCCACUGGUGCUGCAGAUAGCCCGGGUCGGAGUGGUGUUUCCCCAGCAGGAGAGGACCACUGAGGGGGGUGUGUGUGCUGUAAUACACAGCGUCUGAACGCUGAGCCGCUUAUCAG